rnacentral:rRNA from 1 species
GAUGAACGUUGGCGGCGUGCCUAAUACAUGCAAGUCGAACGAAGACUGUAGUAAUACUGUCUUAGUGGCGAACGGGUGGGUAACGCGUGGGUGACCUGCCCCGAAGUGUGGGAUAACAGUCCGAAAGGAUUGCUAAUACUGCAUAAUAUCCAAGAGAUUAGACGCUUUUGGAUUAAAGGAUUUAUUCGCUUCGAGAGGAGCCUGCGUCCCAUCAGCUCGUUGGUAGGGUAACGGCCUACCAAGGCUAUGACGGGUAGGGGACCUGAGAGGGUGGCCCCCCACAAUGGAACUGAAACACGGUCCAUACACCUACGGGUGGCAGCAGUAGGGAAUAUUAGAAAUGGGCGAAAGCCUGAUCUAGCAACACCGCGUGUGCGAUGAAGGCCUUCGGGUCGUAAAGCACUUUUUGGAGGGAAUAGGAAGGAAGGUACCUCCAGAAUAAGUCUCGGCUAACUACGUGCCAGCAGCCGCGGUAACACGUAGGAGGCAAACGUUAUCCGGAUUCACUGGGCGUAAAGCGCGUGUAGGUGGUUCUGUAAGUAGGGCGUGAAAGCUCCCGGCUCAACUGGGAGAGGCCGUACUAAACUGCAGAGCUAGAGGAUGGUAGAGGGAGGUGGAAUUCCGGGUGUAGUGGUGAAAUGCGCAGAUAUCUGGAGGAACACCAGUGGCGAAGGCGGCUUCCUGGACCGCAACUGACGCUGAGGCGCGAAAGCUGGGGGAGCGAACAGGAUUAGAUACCCUGGUAGUCCCAGCCGUAAACUAUGAACACUAGGUGUGGAGGGUAUCGACCCCCUCCGUGCCGCAGCUAACGCAAUAAGUGUUCCGCCUGGGGAGUACGGCCGCAAGGCUAAAACUCAAAGGAAUUGACGGGGGCCCGCACAAGCGGUGGAGCAUGUGGUUUAAUUCGAUGCAACGCGAAGAACCUUACCAGGGCUUGACAUCCCCCGACGCGUAUGGAAACAUGCGUUCUCUCUUCGGAGAGCGGGGAGACAGGUGGUGCAUGGCUGUCGUCAGCUCGUGUCGUGAGAUGUUGGGUUAAGUCCCGCAACGAGCGCAACCCCUGUCCCAAGUUGCCAACGGGUAAAGCCGGGAACUCUUGGGAGACCGCCGGCGACAAGCCGGAGGAAGGUGGGGAUGACGUCAAGUCAUCAUGCCCUUUAUGCCCUGGGCUACACACGUGCUACAAUGGUCGGUACAGAGGGAAGCCAAGGCGCGAGCCGGAGCGAAUCCCCCAAAGCCGGCCCCAGUUCGGAUCGCAGGCUGCAACCCGCCUGCGUGAAGUAGGAAUCGCUAGUAAUCACGGGUCAGCAUACCGUGGUGAAUACGUUCCCGGGCCU